rnacentral:rRNA from 1 species
CCUACGGGUGGCAGCAGUGGGGAAUAUUGGACAAUGGGCGAAAGCCUGAUCCAGCGAUGCCGCGUGUGUGAAGAAGGCCUUCGGGUUGUAAAGCACUUUCAGUGGGGAAGAAAGCCUUGGGGCUAAUACCCUCGAGGAAGGACAUCACCCACAGAAGAAGCACCGGCUAACUCCGUGCCAGCAGCCGCGGUAAUACGGAGGGUGCGAGCGUUAAUCGGAAUUACUGGGCGUAAAGCGCGCGUAGGCGGUUUGAUAAGCCGGUUGUGAAAGCCCCGGGCUCAACCUGGGAACGGCAUCCGGAACUGUCAGGCUAGAGUGCAGGAGAGGAAGGUAGAAUUCCCGGUGUAGCGGUGAAAUGCGUAGAGAUCGGGAGGAAUACCAGUGGCGAAGGCGGCCUUCUGGACUGACACUGACGCUGAGGUGCGAAAGCGUGGGUAGCAAACAGGAUUAGAUACCCGAGUAGUC